rnacentral:lncRNA from 1 species
CAACAGAAUCCGAAUGAAACAAAUCUACAGAGUCCCUUUUGAAAGAAACAGUAAACGUGUGAAACAACUGCGAUAUGACUAUGUGCAGGUAAGCUAUAGUAUCAUUGGUACUGAAUCUGGAAGUGCAUACUGUAGUGCUGUGCAUGGGCCUGCUGUGCUGCAUUUGUUUUGUCUUGUCCAGAGAGUGAUGGAGCUAGAGGCAGAUGCCAUGGGUCAUGAGCUGCUUUUUGUGGAUGAGGCAGGUUUUAACCUCACUAAAACAAGGAGACGUGGCAGGAACAUUAUUGGACACCGUGCCAUCAUCAAUGUCCCAGGACAACGUGGUGGUAACAUAACUAUGUGUGCAGCUAUAGGUCAAAAUGGUGUUGUUCACCAUCAUGCAACCCUAGGCCCAUAUGACACUGCACACAUCAUUACAUUCCUGGACACCUUACAUGACAUGCUCACUAAUGUUCAGACACCAGAGCAGACCAGAUACGUCAUUAUAUGGGACAAUGUUAGUUUCCAUAGGGCUGCUUUGGUCCGCAACUGGUUUACAGAUCAUCCACUCUUCACUGUACUCAACCUUCCUGCAUACUCUCCAUUCUGGAAUCCAAUUGAAGAGUUCUUCUCUGCCUGGCGCUGGAAGGUCUAUGACCGUCAUCCCCAUCAACGCAUAGCCCUUUUACAGGCAGUGGAGGUGGCAUGUGGGGAUAUUGACCGGGCAUCAUGUCAGGCCUGGACACGGUAUUCCAGAAGAUAUUUUCCCCGGUGCCUUGGACUAGAGAACAUUGCAUGUGAUGUAGAUGAAAUUCUGUGGCCGGGCCCAGAGAGACGACACAAUGUAGACAACACAAUGUGGACUGAUUCAGUGAAAUCAGUAUUUUGUGUUUUGACUUGGAAAAAAACACUUGUGUUUGUUUUGAUGUGUGUAAAUAAACACCAACACUUGAAGUUUGGAUCCCUGUAUGUUUACAGAACUAUGACAGAAGUAUGACCUCAAACUGACAGCUAAUGUGCAGAGGUAAGUUCUUCCAGAGGAUGGGGUCACCCACCACUCGUGAACCAAAAAUCUAUGCCCAAUCACCCAAAAAGUCAUCCAUAUUUUGGUAAUCUAAAGAUUUGGAUUUGCAAUGGAAUAGUUAGUAUGAGGCUUGAGUUUUUAUUUGUUUCAGUUUUAUACAUAUUGUG